UGACCGCGUACUUUUUGUAGAACGGGCCAACGAGUUACGUUAAGUAGCAAGGUUAAGCACUUAAGGUGUGGAGCCGUAGCGAAAGCGAGUUUUAACUGAGCGUUCAGUUACUUGACGUAGACCCGAAACCGGGCGACCUACCCAUGAGCAGGAUGAAGCGAAAGUAAAAUUUCGGGGAGGUCCGAACCCACGAGCGUUGAAAAGCUCGGGGAUGACUUGUGGGUAGCGGUGAAAUUCCAAUCGAGCCCGGAGAUAGCUGGUUCUCCCCGAAAUAGCUUUAGGGCUAGCCUCAAGGUGAGAGAUACGGAGGUAGAGCACUGAAUGUCCUAGGGGGUAUUGCACCU
rnacentral:rRNA from 1 species